rnacentral:rRNA from 1 species
UGCCGGUGGGACUCGGCGCGGCCGGGGUUCCGUAACUUACCCUCCGAGCUGCUCUUAACCGAGUGGUUCGGUGGGCCGGCACGUUUACUUUGAACAAAUUUGAGUGCUCAAAGCAGGCCUUACGUUGCCUGGAAACUGUGUGCAUGGAAUAAUGAAAGAGGACCUUGGUUCUAUUUUGUUGGCUUUCUGAACUCGAGGUAAUGAUUAACAGGGACAGACGGGGGCAUUCGUAUUGCGACGUUAGAGGUGAAAUUCUUGGAUCGUCCCAAGACGGACCGAUGCGAAAGCGUUUGCCAAGAAUGUUUUCGCUAAUCAAGAACGAAAGUUAGAGGUUCGAAGGCGAUUAGAUACCGCCCUAGUUCUAACCAUAAACGAUGUCAGCCAGCGAUGCGCCGAUGUUCCUCCGAUGACACGGCGCGCAACUUCCGGGAAACCAAAGCUUUUGGGUUCCGGGGGAAGUAUGGUUGCAAAGCUGAAACUUAAAGGAAUUGACGGAAGGGCACCACCAGGAGUGGAGCCUGCGGCUUAAUUUGACC